rnacentral:lncRNA from 1 species
GUUAACUGGGGUUAAAACCCUUAUCAAUUCGGGAAGAGUUUAAAUGGAAGUUUUCCAGGCAACAGAUAUUUGUGAAGGUGACCUGAAUUGCCUUUGCUUUGUAAUUUUAAUGCUACAUGGUUACUUUAAAUGGAUUUUCAAAAAAGCAUCAGCCAUUAGAAAGUUAUAUCUAUUAGUCUUGUUUCCUUAUUAUAUUGUUACUCCUAGAUUAUGACUCAUCUUUCCCCUGAGGCAUCAGCCUGCUAAAGCAGACCCAUAUGACUUUUUCAUGUGUUAAACCAGACUGGAAAAUUCGAAACUCAGGAUCUUUGGCCAUUUCUGAAUCUCUUUUAUUAAUCAUAAUGGAAUUAUAAGAAAACCAUUUAAUAGUUAAAGAAGAUAGGCUAUUUGCAUUCUGGGAGUGGUAUUAAUUUUAGUUUUCUGAGAUCGGUGCCAUCAGCUGAAAAGAAAUGAAUGAGGAAGUUUAACCAGAGGGACAAGGAAUGAGUUGUAGUUUUGGGUGGUAAGACGAGAAUUAGGUUUUACGUACAGGGCAAGAUGCUCAACUCUCAGAAUGAGUACACACAGACUAGGAACUCUAGUUGUCUUGAAGUAGGAGAAUUAGAGCUGAUGUUGGACAGGUUUGUUGGGUUGUAUUCUACUCCUCAUCUAUCAGAAUUGCAGAACUUACUGAUUUUCUCUUGUUUCUUCUUAGUUGAGUCCUCUCUUUAUGCUAAUCUUCAUUUAACUUUAAUGGUUAGGCACGGCGUACAGAAUUAGUUUGCUUCUGAUCAACUCAUUAUGAAUUCUUCCGUUUACUUCUGCAAAGUCUUAAGAUGGCUUCUACAAAAUGUAGAACCGCUAUUCUGAGUUUUUACUCAAAUGAGUUAGAUCCAAGGUUUGUGAAAAAAAGGAUCGCCUCCUUUUUGUUUUUAGAGAAAUCUUCAGUGGUAUUCAAGAGAUUUUCCGUGGCUCUUUGUCUGCAGGAUACUUUAUUUUAUGAAGGACUACCUUUUAAUGUAUCUUGUGUGAGGACUCAAAGAGAAGGUCUUAGGUUUCAGUAAUGCCAUGUUGGUUGUGGUAAACUUUGGAUGCUGUCUUUAGAAAAAUAAAAUUAAUCUUCUAAGAUGACUAUUCUGUGUUACCCAUGCUGGUAUGACCUGUCGUCUCACAUACUUAAUUUUUAUAUCCUUAGAUGGCUGGGAGGCCUGAAUGAUUUUUUUGAGAUGAUGUAGAAUAGACACCAGUCUUGUUUAUUUCUUGUUUCAGUAUUUUUUCUUCCCCUCCUUUUUUUUCUUUUUGAAAAGGAACAAAAGUUUGUUAUAUUCCCAGAAAUUUUUGAAGUUUAAGAUGUUAAUAUUUCUCAAGGGUCAAGAGAAGCAGGUGGGUUUAAAAAGUCUAGGUCUUUUAGAGGAUCCCUAGAGAGAUCUCUGAAGAAUUAAAAAGGGAAGAUACCAUUUGACUUCCCUUAUUUGUGGCACAAGCUUCCUGCCAGACUGCCUGGUACAUUGUUUCCUUCUAUGCCCAUUUUGUUCAGAGUUUUUAUCAUAAAUGGCUGUUGGAUCUUGUCAAAUGCCUUCUCUGCAUCUAUUGAGAUGAUCAUGUGGUUUUUAUUCCUCAGCUUGUAGAUGUGGUGUAUCACCUUGAUUGAUUUGCGGAUGUUGAACCAUCCCUGUGUCCCUGGUAUGAAUCCCACCUGAUCAUAAUGUAUGAUCCUUUUGAUGAAUUGCUGAAUUCUGGUUGCCAAGAUUUUGUUGAGAAUUUUUGCAUCUAUGUUCAUCAGUGAUAUUGGCCUGUAGUUCUCUUUUUUCGUGGUGUCCUUGUCAGGUUUUGGUAUCAGCGUGAU